AAUAAAGAUAUAAACGGCAAGCGUCUCCCUAGUUUUCUACGAAACGAUGACCACACACACAUUUAAACUUUCAGCGACUCUUGCGCAUAUCUAAAAGCCCAAGGAAGCCAAGAAUUCUAAAUCGACGUGGCAGUUCGCGGUGAUCGAGAAUACAACACUCAGAAGAGCAACAUAGAUUCCCCCACUGACAACAUCCAAGCCUAUUAUUGUUGAUCAUUUAUCAUAUUUAACCUGCAAUAUUACAAUAAACCUGCAAUAUUGGUAAACAAUGUACAUACGUUAGAAUAAUAACUAGCCGAGUUACGGUAUGUACGUCUGUCCGCCUCUCUGCCUGUCCGUAUAAAAAAGAUUUCGAAAUAGACGACCUUCGGGGAUGGACCUGCGGUAAUUACCUUUAGAAAGCUUUAAAUAAAUUUUGUUUGAAAUGCAAGGCAAGGCUAAUGGCGUCAAGUCUGUGAAAAAACGCUCUUUUUGAAAAUGGAUCAUUAUCCAGUCGAAGCACCUUCCGUUCCUUUAGGAAGAGCUACAUUGAAAACCUUCUUUAUUUUUACGGAAGUGCUUUAUGCGGAAGAGCUUUACCGACUUAUCGAGAAGUGCUUAAAACUUCUUACGGAAAGAAUAAGCCAAUAGCGAUCCUUAUAUAAAUUGAUAUAAAUCAAUGGAGCAUAGGGAAGGUCUAGUACUUAAUCUGAAAAUGCUUUUUGUUCUUAUCCUUGAUAAAUAUUACUGUGGCACUAGCAUCAUUUCCUUUAAUUCAUUUGAGUAAUAAAAUAUCCAUGUUUACUUUUGUGGUUUCAUUGUAGCUAGUAUAGAUGACCUUAGUAGGUAGAGUACAAGGUCAGCCCAGGCAACAACAACAACAAAUGGUAACACUCGAAUAGUGAUGGGAUUUAUCCAGCAAUACGACUUCAUUUUAUUUAUGAAUAACAAAAUUACUUUCCUCCGUUGUCUCUGGAGUCUUAUGCGAUGCUCAGCAAUGUGGCCUUGUCUGCGAAGGUGUUGUCGAAAUACGAGCCGAUUCGAGCACUUCCAACGUUGACGACGAAGUGACGGAACUAUGCCCGGUCGCCAUCAAUGCGCAAUUGCCGGCGAAUACGGAGCACAGCAGAAUAUGCUCCGGAAUACUUACUCACCCUGCCUCAGCUACGUGUCUGCAAUUCGCCGCUAUGAUUUUCGCCAUGUUACUCGAACGAGCUGUUCACAGAAAGUCACAGUCUUUGGAGUGAAAGUUUCAUAACCAUCCCAAAAUUGCAUGGUUUCCUAUGUUAAGAACAUUGUAGUUUCGGGCUCAUAAAAUGCAUUCCUCAUAUAUUUUAUCAAGUCAGUUAUCGAUAGCUACCGAUGGUUGUUGGCAAACAAGAAUUUUCGCUAAGAUGUAACAUGGUCAUACUGAAGGGAAACUGGAAACGUUGGAAAGAUGGUAACUGACUCGUGACUCGUGAACCUUCCACAACCCCUUCAAACAGCAGAGCAAACAUUGAAAAUAGACGACCACUUUGAUCCUCUACCGUAGGUAAAUAUAUUGAAUCGCGAGUGUCGAACACAAUUUAUGUUAACAAAACAGCACUUUAUUAAAGUUGUACACUUGUAAUCGCAUGGCGAAUUAAGUACACAGUUAUCGCGCUAAAAAUACAGUGUUGUGGGGAUCUCGGGGAUCCCUCGCUUAGGCCUAUGAUUGCAGGGUACAAGGACACCUGCUCCGGAUUCGGGCUUAUUUGUGAUAAGAACUGAUAUCUGAUGUAAAGCAGAUAUCGAAUUAUCAGUUAGCCGUAUUUUAAGCAGUAUCUUAACACCCUAACAUAAAAAUUCCAUAAUAUUAAUUAAUAAAAAAAAAAAAAA